GGGAUAAACGACAAAGUGGCCAUUGACGCGCUGAGAAAGACGCUCUGGUACAAUUAUACAAUAGCUAAUUUUGGUAACUCCACGCGAAGAGAAGAUUUUUUUUAAUGAAGGUCAGAAGAUAAUAAUAAUGGUGGGAAGGGAACAAUAUUCUGUGAUCUGAUAUUAGUAGAAAACGAAAGAAACGGUUAUGUUUUUAAAGCUUUUUUUUAAAGAAUCCAACACUCAAGAAAGCUGCCCACUGUCUUAGAUCGUUAACCAUCACAGAAGCUUUUAAGAUCACCGGGAGAGUAAGGCAAUUGGCAUCACGUCCAUGCUUCUUAU
rnacentral:lncRNA from 1 species